rnacentral:rRNA from 1 species
GGGGGCAACCCUGGUGGCGAGUGGCGAACGGGUGAGUAAUACAUCGGAACGUGCCCAGUCGUGGGGGAUAACUACGCGAAAGCGUGGCUAAUACCGCAUACGAUCCAAGGAUGAAAGCGGGGGAUCGCAAGACCUCGCGCGAUUGGAGCGGCCGAUGGCAGAUUAGGUAGUUGGUAGGGUAAAGGCUUACCAAGCCUACGAUCUGUAGCUGGUCUGAGAGGACGACCAGCCACACUGGAACUGAGACACGGUCCAGACUCC